rnacentral:lncRNA from 10 species
CUUUCCGGGGGCUUUGCUUCCGCCUCCGUGGAACUGGGAACUUGAAGGGGUGUUGGCAGGCGGCAGGGCUUUUGGAGAUAUUUGCCACGGACCUGGAAGGAAGGUGUUCGUCCCUGAGGCAGGAGGAAGACACAGGCGUGGUUUUGCUCUGACUUUUCUACUUCAGCCCUGGUAACUCCAUCUCAAUAUAGUAAUUGUCCUCGGGGGCAAAUGCGAGUCCCUGUCACGCUUUUGACGCCACAGCUUUGGAGUUGUCAUGGAAACAGUUGAACAAAUGAAGCCCAGGAAAUCCCUCAUCCAGACUCCAUCGUAGAGAAUGUGUGGAAUGACCGAUCCAGGGGCCCCAUAAGUCCGCCGGUUUUCAGGUGCCCACUUGGACACAGCUGGCCAGGAAAGGGAAGGGACGGGUCUGGGCCAGGAGGGACCUCACAUAAGUUCUAUGAUGAUUUGGUUUAAAAUCUUGGCCGGGCGCAGUGGCUCAGGCCUUUAAUCCCAGCACUUUGGGAGGCCGAGGCGGGCGGAUCACUUGAGGCCAGGAGUUCGAGAUCAGCCUCGCCAACAUGGUGAAACCCUGUCUCUACUAAAAAUACAAAAAUUAGCCGGGCGUGAUGGCGCACGCCUGUAAUCCCAGCUACUCAGGAGGCUGAGGCUGGAGAAUCGCUUGAACCUGGGAGGCGGAAGUUGCAGUGAGCCGAGAUUGUGCCACUGCACUCCAGCCUGGUCAACAGAGUAAGACUGUCUCAAAAAAAAAAAAAGAAAAGAAAAAAAAAUCUCAUCCCACACUUACCCUCUUGCCAAAGCAUUAUCAGGAAAACCACAAGCAAAUUAGACCUUGAAAUCCCUCUGCAGGCCUUUGAGAGGAUAUUUUAUUGAGCUUGUGAGAGGGUGGGACAAAUGAGAUGGUUAUAGCUUCAUGAUUAUAGCUGUUGUGCUUGGGGAUCUUUCCACAGUCUCACUGGACUUCCAGGACCUGCUGGCUGAAACAGAACAGAGACUUUGUGUGUGUGUGAGAAAAGGGACUAAGGUAGUAAGGGACUGAGGUAGGGGGUUGCAGAGAAUGAGCAGCUGGUGGUGGGAUGGUGGAAAUCCCCACAUUUGAGAUUGGAGCUCUUGCAGGAAUUGGUGAUGCUCAUACUUCUGGACCUUCAAGGAAUAGGCAGGAUCCUGACUAGUCUUUAUCUAUAUUCUGUGUCUUUUGUGCCCACAUCCCAUUAUUAAUGACCAACCUCCAAGUCUGGGCCUACAUCUGGAUACCACCUAAUGAUCACAUGCCAGGUGCAGACCAGGGCCACAUGCUGUAUCGCUAUCCAGGUCCAAUGCUGUCCUGGGGCUUCCCACAUCUCCAUGGCCCCGUGGCCCCAGCCAGAUGCCUAGCCCUGCAGUGUACUGCAUGAGAAAGGCCAGGUGCAGGAAUUAAGCAGGGGAUGCAGACCAGUGGUGCUAAGGACAGGUACCAAGAAGCAGAGCCAUAGCCACACCAGCCGUGCACCAAAUUUGAAGCUGCAAGUACCCAGCCCACCAUAAAGGUGCCCAUGGUGAGCAAAGCCAUGCAGAGUGCCUGCCACUGCCACUAUUUCCUCAGUACCUGAUGCUGCCAAUAGAUUCACUGUAGCACCAUCACCAAGUCCUACAGGUCUAGUGAUGGCUCCCUCAAUGAGAUCAAGAUCUGCACUCCCUUCCCUGGUUACUUCAUGGUACACUGUGGACGCCAUGGCUACAAGUCAUAGAAUGAGGCAGUAGCCCCACCAGUGUCACCAAGAAUGCCACAAGUGGUAGCAUACCAGUCGAUAUCCAGCUAGUGCCCUAGAUGUCUACGACUUGCACAAAGCAGAAAUGUUAAAUUGUAUGGGCCCAGUCUGGAGGUUAGCUUGCCUGCAUAAGCCCCUGGCACUGCUUCCAGGAAAAGUCAAGACAAAGAUGACCAAGUGGAAAAACCAGGCAGCAGCCAGCAAGGCCCAGUCGUGGAAUGGACAGAGGUAGGGUCCAGCAACCUCCUGGGCUCAAACGAUCCUCCCAUCUCAGCCUCUGAAAUAUUUGGGACUACAAGUGCAUACCAUAAGAGCCAGCUAAUUUUUAUAUUUUUGGUAAAGACAGGGUCUCACUAUGUUGCCCAGGCUGGUCCUGAACUCCUAGGCUCAAGCUAUCCUCCCACCUCGCCCCAAAGUGCUGGGAUUACAGGCAUAAGCCACCACACUUGGCCAGUUUCAGCAACUUUUU